rnacentral:rRNA from 1 species
GCAACGCGAAGAACCUUACCUGGUCUUGACACUCCCGGGAGACCCUUAGGAAACUAGGGGUGCUUCCAUCUGGAAGAAUCUGGAGACAGGUGCUGCAUGGCUGUCGUCAGCUCGUGUCGUGAGAUGUUGGGUUAAGUCCCGCAACGAGCGCAACCCUUGCCUUUAGUUGCCAGCAGUUCGGCUGGGCACUCUAAAGGGACUGCCGGUGUUAAACCGGAGGAAGGUGGGGAUGACGUCAAGUCCUCAUGGCCCUUACGCCUAGGGCUACACACGUACUACAAUGGCGCAUACAAAGGGCAGCGAUACCGCGAGGUGGAGCCAAUCCCAAAAAGUGCGUCCCAGUCCGGAUUGCAGUCUGCAACUCGACUGCAUGAAGUUGGAAUCGCUAGUAAUUCGAGAUCAGCAUGCUCGGGUGAAUGCGUUCCCGGGCCUU